rnacentral:rRNA from 1 species
UACGUAGGGUGCGAGCGUUAAUCGGAAUUACUGGGCGUAAAGCGUGCGCAGGCGGCGCGUUAAGUCAGGUGUGAAAGCCCCGAGCUUAACUUGGGAAUUGCGCUUGUGACUGGCGUGCUGGAGUGUGGCAGAGGGAGGUGGAAUUCCACGUGCAGCAGUGAAAUGCGUAGAGAUGUGGAGGAACACCGAUGGCGAAGGCAGCUACCUGGGCCAGCACUGACGCUAAUGCACGAAAGCGUGGGGAGCAAACAGG